rnacentral:rRNA from 1 species
AGGAAUUGGCGGGGGAGCACCACAAGGGGUGAAGCUUGCGGUUUAAUUGGAGUCAACGCCGGAAAUCUCACCGGGAGCGACAGCAGUAUGAAAGCCAGAUUGAAGGUCUUGCUAGACGAGCUGAGAGGAGGUGCAUGGCCGUCGCCAGUUCGUGCCGUGAGGUGUCCUGUUAAGUCAGGCAACGAUCGAGACCCGCGUCCUCUGUUGCAACCAGCUUUGAGCUGGGCACACUGAGGAGACCGCCACUGAUAAAGUGGAGGAAGGAGCGGGCCACGGCAGGUCAGUAUGCCCCGAAUCUCCCGGGCCACACGCGAGCUGCAAUGGCAAGUACAAUGGGUUCCGACCUCGAAAGGGGGAGGCAAUCUCGAAAGCUUGCCGUAGUUGGAAUUGAGGGUUGAAACCCACCCUCAUGAACAUGGAAUCCCUAGUAAUCGCGUGUCACUAGCGCGCGGUGAAUACGUCCCUGCUCCUUGCACACACCGCCCGUC